rnacentral:lncRNA from 1 species
AUGAAUUGAAUUUGAUUUUAGGUGUGAAAGAUGUCUUUUAUUUUUGUUUGAGUUUUUGGUUAGACUUAUGUACGAGUAUGACAAACUUGUAAAUGAAAAUUUAUUAUUUAUUAGAAUUAAAAAAGAAAGAAAUAGUUUUGUAUAUUAAAAAGACUUAGAUUUAAAAUAGUAGAAUAAAGAGGAACAAUUUUUUGUGUUUUUAAUUUAUCAAGAAUAAAAAAAUCUUUUAUAUUUUUGAGUUUUAAUGAACUAAAGAGAGUAUUUUUUUGGUUUUUUUAAUUAAAAAAAAGGAAGAUUAUUUUUAUAUUUUUUUAUUUGAUUAAAA